UACGUAGGGUGCGAGCGUUGUCCGGAAUUACUGGGCGUAAAGGGUGUGUAGGUGGCGCCGUAAGUCGGGUGUGAAAUUUCGGAGCUUAACUCCGAAACUGCAUUCGAUACUGCGGUGCUUGAGGACUGGAGAGGAGACUGGAAUUCAUGGUGUAGCAGUGAAAUGCGUAGAGAUCAUGAGGAAGACCAGUGGCGAAGGCGGGUCUCUGGACAGUUCCUGACACUGAGACACGAAGGCCAGGGGAGCAAACGGG
rnacentral:rRNA from 1 species